GCGAUGGGAGCAGCGCGAACUUGGUUGUUGAAGAUGAAGGUGGUGGCGGAGCGCAGAACAGCGAUGUCAUUGUCCAUGGUCCUUGAGUUGUAUGAGGGGUGGAUGAUGUUGGCAUUCAGGUUGUGUACGACACCACCGCUGUUAGCCCAGGUGGAGCCAA
rnacentral:lncRNA from 1 species